AUUGAACGCUGGCGGCAGGCCUAACACAUGCAAGUCGAGCGGAUGAAGGGAGCUUGCUCCUGGAUUCAGCGGCGGACGGGUGAGUAAUGCCUAGGAAUCUGCCUGGUAGCGGGGGAUAACGUCCGGAAACGGGCGCUAAUACCGCAUACGUCCUGAGGGAGAAAGUGGGGGAUCUUCGGACCUCACGCUAUCAGAUGAGCCUAGGUCGGAUUAGCUAGUUGGUGGGGUAAAGGCCUACCAAGGCGACGAUCCGUAACUGGUCUGAGAGGAUGAUCAGUCACACUGGAACCGAGACACGGUCCAGACUCCUACGGGAGGCAGCAGUGGGGAAUAUUGGACAAUGGGCGAAAGCCUGAUCCAGCCAUGCCGCGUGUGUGAAGAAGGUCUUCGGAUUGUAAAGCACUUUAAGUUGGGAGGAAGGGCAGUAAGUUAAUACCUUGCUGUUUUGACGUUACCAACAGAAUAAGCACCGGCUAACUUCGUG
rnacentral:rRNA from 1 species